rnacentral:rRNA from 1 species
CACGUAGGGUGCGAGCGUUGUCCGGAAUUAUUGGGCGUAAAGAGCUCGUAGGCGGCUCGUCGCGUCGGGUUGUGAAAACUCUAGGCUUAACCUGGAGCUUGCAACCGAUACGGGCGGGCUAGAGUUCGGUAGGGGAGACUGGAAUUCCUGGUGUAGCGGUGAAAUGCGCAGAUAUCAGGAGGAACACCGGUGGCGAAGGCGGGUCUCUGGGCCGAUACUGACGCUGAGGAGCGAAAGCGUGGGGAGCGAACAGG